GGUUAAGCGACUAAGCGUACACGGUGGAUGCCCUGGCAGUCAGAGGCGAUGAAGGACGUGCUAAUCUGCGAAAAGCGUCGGUAAGGUGAUAUGAACCGUUACAGCCGGCGAUGUCCGAAUGGGGAAACCCAGUGUGAUUCGUC
rnacentral:rRNA from 1 species